rnacentral:rRNA from 1 species
GACGAACGCUGGCGGCGUGCUUAACACAUGCAAGUCGAACGGAAAGGCCCUGCUUUUGUGGGGUGCUCGAGUGGCGAACGGGUGAGUAACACGUGAGUAACCUGCCCUUGACUUUGGGAUAACUUCAGGAAACUGGGGCUAAUACCGGAUAGGAGCUCCUGCUGCAUGGUGGGGGUUGGAAAGUUUCGGCGGUUGGGGAUGGACUCGCGGCUUAUGAGCUUGUUGGUGGGGUAGUGGCUUACCAAGGCUUUGACGGGUAGCCCGCGUGAGAGGGUGACCGGCCACCAUGGGCCUGCGAGACGCCCCAGACUCCUACGGGACGCAGUAGUCGGGAAUAUUACACAAUGGCCGCAAGCCUGAUGCAGCAACGCCGCGUGCGGGAUGACGGCCUUCGAGUGGUAAACCGCUUUCGCCUGUGCCGAAGCGGGAGUGACGGUAAUGGGUAAAGAAGCACCGGCUAACUACGUG